rnacentral:rRNA from 1 species
UACGAAGGGGGCUAGCGUUGCUCGGAAUCACUGGGCGUAAAGCGCACGUAGGCGGCUUAUUAAGUCAGGGGUGAAAUCCUGGAGCUCAACUCCAGAACUGCCUUUGAUACUGAGAGGCUUGAGUCCGGGAGAGGUGAGUGGAACUGCGAGUGUAGAGGUGAAAUUCGUAGAUAUUCGCAAGAACACCAGUGGCGAAGGCGGCUCACUGGCCCGGUACUGACGCUGAGGUGCGAAAGCGUGGGGAGCGAACAGG